rfam:Aedes aegypti strain Liverpool supercont1.514 genomic scaffold, whole genome shotgun sequence.
GAUAACUGGCUUGUGGCCGCCAAGCGUUCAAAGCGACGUGGCUUUUUGAUCCUUCGAUGUCGGCUCUUCCUAUCAUUGUGAAGCAAAAUUCACAAAGCGUAGGAUUGCUCACCCUUUCAAGGGAACGUGAGCUGGGUGGGUUUAGACCAUCGUGAGACAGGUU